rnacentral:rRNA from 1 species
UUUCUGCAAGGUGCUGCAUGGUUGUCGUCAGCUCGUGCCGUGAGGUGUCGGGUUAAGUCCCAUAACGAGCGCAACCCUUAUCGUUAGUUGCCAUCUGGUAAUGCAGGGGACUCUAGCGAAACUGCCACCGUAAGGUGAGAGGAAGUGGGGAUGACGUCAAAUCAGCAGGCCCUUAUGUCCAGGGCUACACACGUGUUACAAUGGUCGGUACAGAGGGCAGCUACCUGGUGACAGGAUGCUAAUCUCAAAAACCGGUCUCAGUUCGGAUCGAAGUCUGCAACUCGACUUCGUGAAGCUGGAUUCGCUAGUAAUCGCGCAUCAGCUAUGGCGCGGUGAAUACGUUCCCGGGCCUU